rnacentral:misc_RNA from 1 species
CAGUGGUACGACAUUGUACCAUUGGCGGUCGGCGGUGCGCGGACAAAAACAAAAACGUCGUCGUCAUUGCCGCCCUACGACGACGAACGAGACCCAAACCGAAAACGAAGACAGUGCGCGGUUUUAAUCGUAUUAAAAAAUUAAACACAUUACACGUUAUCGUGCGGCGCACGCACCGCGCGCAUGUGUAACCAUGUACGCCGAAGAUAAGCCGUCCUAACGUUAUAUAUUCCAUUGCCGACCGUUACGCCACCGCCGUGUUAAUAUCGGUUAAACCGUCGUGGCUCGACCGCGAUAACGAGCGCACAACGCCGCGUGUAACGAGCGUUUCAAGCAGCCACGUUCCGGACAGUAUUGCACACGGUCGUGACGAUGAGCGUACACGAGGUCGGCCGGCCGUCCGUCCGAUGACGACGACGACCGAAUCGAAUGAUAUAAUAAUAAUAAUAAUUGUUUCGUAAAAGCCGUCGCCGCCGCCGCCGAAAACUUUACCGACCGGCCAGCCAGCAGCAACCAUGGUUCUGUGUUUUGGUUGCUGUUCUCGUAGAGACUAUUCACCAAUAGAUGAUGGAUUGCCAUCUCAUCACAUUAACAAUUUAGAUGUAGAAUACAUUGACAUAAAAUGUGGAUAUUCUUAUAACCUAACGAAAAAAAUAAUAUUUAAUAUAAUUGCAAUAUGCAUGGUCGGUGUGCCAUAUUUGGCCAUUCAUUGGUCAGUCAAAUUAAAAUUGUAUCUACUUAUGACUCCUAGUCCAUUAUCAACUUCCGAUAUUGUUCUCGUUACAGACGCGAAUAAUAGCGAUGCCAUAUACGAUGUUAACAUUUCAAUAAUAAAAGACUCAAACGGAGAAAGGAAAACUGUAAGAUAUUUUAAACAUCAAUUAUUAAAAUAUAUAUGGGAUGAAAAUGAAAAUGUAUUCAAAUUUCUACAAGGUCUUGAUAAUGGAACAACUACACUAUCAAAUUUGUUAGAAAAAUGUCAUGGUCUCACAUCUGAUGAAUAUACAAGCCAAUUAGAACUUUUUGGUAAGAAUGAAGUAAUUGUGGAAGUACAUUCUUACUGGAAAUUAUUUUUUGCUGAAGUGUUGAAUCCAUUCUACGUCUUUCAAAUAUUUAGCAUAUGUCUAUGGUUUUUUGAUGACUAUGAAUACUAUGGUUUAUGCGUAUUAGUUAGUUCAGCAUUUUCUAUUGGGACUUCAUUAUAUCAACUAAAAGCGCAAAGUCGAUCACUUAAAGAAACUGUAGAUACUUAUAAUAAUGACAUUUACACUGUCCUAAGAAGAAAUGAGGGAAAUGUUCAAGUCAAAGCUCAAUACUUAGUACCUGGAGAUGUAAUUAUAAUACCACCAGGUGGUUGCAAUAUUGCUUGUGAUGCUUUAUUGUUAUCUGGUAAUUGUAUUGUCGACGAAAGUCUUUUAACAGGAGAAAGUGAGCCAAUAACAAAAAGUCCUCCUUCAUCUAUUGAAGAAUUUUGCUAUAGUAGUUCUUCACAUAAACAUCACACAUUGUAUUGUGGAACCAGGAUUUUACAAUCAAGAUUUUAUGCUGGAGCUCAAGUGUUGGCUCUAGUGGUUAGGACUGGAAGUUCUACAGCUAAAGGAAAUUUAAUACGUUCAAUUAUGUUUCCAAAAGAUAUGGAUUUCGAAUUCUAUUUGGACUCCAUAAAAUUUGUUAUAAUCAUGUUUAUUGUUGCUACAAUUGGAAUGCUUUACUGUGCCUACUUGUAUGUUAUAAGAGAUGCGUCUGUAGAGUACAUUAUCAUAAGAAGUUUGGACAUUUACACUGUGGUCGUUCCCCCUGCAUUACCAGCUGCUAUGACAAUUGGUAUUGUGCAUUCUAUGAAACGUCUAAAACGCCUUAAAAUCUAUUGCACAUGUCAGAGCCGUAUUAAUGUUGCUGGUAAAAUAAAGCUGGUUUGUUUUGAUAAGACUGGCACAUUAACUGAAGACGGAUUGCACUUUUUUGGUCUAUUACCUUAUGAUGGUCUACAGUUUGUUACAAAUAUAUAUGAAAAUUUAGUGAAAGAUUUAUCUCAAAUAGAUGUUAGGUCACCAAUAAUUGCUACAAUGGCAUCUUGUCAUUCAUUAACUCACAUACACGGAUCACUAGCCGGAGAUCCAUUAGAUUUGAGCAUGUUUAAUGCAACUGAUUGGGAAUUAGAAGAGUCCGGAGCAGAUAAUUCAAGAUUUGAUAACUUAUUACCUUCCAUAGUAAGACCGUCUAAAAAAUUAUACUCGGGUGAAGCACCAAUUGAAAUUGGUAUUGUACAUCAAUUUCCCUUUAAUUCAAAAACACAAAGUAUGUGUGUUAUUGGUCAAGUAUUUGGUACUCGGCGUUACACAGCAUACUGUAAAGGUGCUCCAGAAAAAAUUAUCCAAAGCUGUUUAAAAGAAACAAUUCCUACAAAUAUUUUGUCUGUUUUGGAAGAAUUUGGUUCAUCUGGGUAUCGAGUAUUAGCAUUGGCAUACAAAGAUUUGCCAAAAAAAGUUAAUUGGAAAUCAUUAUACCAUCUUAAAUUAGAAAAUGUUCAAAGUAAUUUAAUUUUUUUGGGAUUUCUUGUUAUGCAAAAUAAACUUAAACCACAAUCUUCUAAUGUAAUUCAACAAUUGAGAACAGCAAACAUAAAAUGUGUUAUGGUUACCGGGGAUAACUUAUAUACUGGAUUAAGUGUAGCAAGAGAGUGUUCUAUGAUCCCAACUAAUAUCAAUAUUGCAGUACUAACAGCAACACCUAGUACUGAACUGAAUAAAGCAGAAAUCAAACUUGAGCCUACUUUAGGACAUUGCUUGGAUAUACAAGAUGAAAAGGUAUAUUAUGCAAUUGAUGGGAGAUCAUGGUCUGUUUUGGAAACGGAUUUUCCAAAUUGGUUACCUUAUAUUGUCUCUAAAGGUCUUGUAUUUGGACGAAUGUUGCCAGAGCAAAAAGUGAAACUUGUGGAGUACUUUCAAAGUAUGGGCUACGUGACAGCUAUGUGUGGGGAUGGAGCAAAUGAUGCUGGGGCAUUAAAAGUUGCUCAUGUUGGCAUAUCACUUUCACAAGCUGAAGCUUCUAUAGCAGCACCAUUUACUUCUCAAAUAACAAAUGUCUCAUGCGUUACUAAAGUAAUACGAGAAGGACGAUGUGCUUUGGUGACUAGUUUUGGAAUAUUUAAAUAUAUGACAUGCUACAGUUUAAUACAAUUCAUUACAUUAGUUUUACUUUACAGCGUAGGUUUGUGCCUACAAGCCCUGCAUGGUCAGACAAUGACGUCAUUUCAUGUUGGGAAAAUACUACAUUGUUUUUAACCAGUUCAUAUCAGUACAUUAUUUUAGCAUUUGUAUUGAACAAGGGGUAUCCUCAUCGAAAACCGUUUUACAAAAAUUUAUCUUUCACAAUUGUCAUUGUAUUAUUGACAUUAUUUACGCUGAUGUUGCAAACCACUAGAUACUCUACGUUCACAGACAUUUUCGACAUGGUCAAUCUAAAAAAUUCCCGCAAUGAAAAAGAACAGCGGCUUUUUCUAAUU